AGCUCCAAUAGCGUAUAUUAAAGUUGUUGCGGUUAAAAAGCUCGUAGUUGGAUUUCUGUGGAAAACGUCCGGUCCGCACUUCGUGCGUGUAUCUGGCACGGUUUCUGCAUCCUCGCGGGGAACGUUUGCGCUUCAUUGCGUGGGCGGGAUUCGUGACUUUUACUUUGAGGAAAUUAGAGUGUUCACGGCAGGCUUUCGCCUUGAAUACAUUAGCAUGGAAUAAUAAUAUAGGACCUUGGUUCUAUUUUGUUGGUUUCUAGAACUAAGGUAAUGAUUAAUAGGGAUAAUUGGGGGCAUUCGUAUUAACGCGUCAGAGGUGGAAUUCUUGGAUUGCGUUACGACGAACUACUGCGAAAGCAUUUGCCAAGGAUGUUUUCA
rnacentral:rRNA from 1 species